rnacentral:rRNA from 1 species
ACUCCUACGGGAGGCAGCAGUGGGGAAUAUUGCACAAUGGGCGCAAGCCUGAUGCAGCCAUGCCGCGUGUGUGAAGAAGGCCUUCGGGUUGUAAAGUACUUUCAGCAGUGAGGAAGGCGGGUACGUUAAUAGCGUGCUCGUUUGACGUUAGCUGCAGAAGAAGCACCGGCUAACUCCGUGCCAGCAGCCGCGGUAAUACGGAGGGUGCGAGCGUUAAUCGGAAUUACUGGGCGUAAAGCGCAUGCAGGUGGUUUGUUAAGUCAGAUGUGAAAGCCCGGGGCUCAACCUCGGAAUUGCAUUUGAAACUGGCAGACUAGAGUACUGUAGAGGGGGGUAGAAUUUCAGGUGUAGCGGUGAAAUGCGUAGAGAUCUGAAGGAAUACCGGUGGCGAAGGCGGCCCCCUGGACAGAUACUGACACUCAGAUGCGAAAGCGUGGGGAGCAAACAGGAUUAGAUACCCUGGUAGGAUAGCG